UUCUGGGAAUUGAGAUCCACACAUGUUAAAGUUGCUAAGUUGAAAAAACACCGAUCUAGAUAAAGGAAUGGCUUUUAUUUAUUCCAAGAGUAGCCCACUGGAAUUCUAGUUGGAGAAUUAGAUAAAUAAAAUCCUAGUAAUUUAGGUAGGAAUUAAAGAAUGAUUGGCCGACUUUUGUGCCCUUUUGCUUUUCAUCAUCCCCAUUUUACUUUUCAGUGAUAGUACUAAGAAAAAUUUAUUCUACCAAAAUACUUGAAUGUUAGUGUAUCUUGUAGUGUAUAAGAAGAAUUUUGCCUUAUAGGGGACGCUUAUGGCAGGGCAUGAAGCCACUCAGCAACCUGACAGCUUUUGCUCCAUAUGUGGACUGCAUUUCAAUCUAUUUCAUGAAUAGGAGUCAAUCUUUUCCUGAAAUAAGCAGAGAUUUCUAACAAUGCUAUGGAAAUGAAAGUAAGCCACUCCAGACUGCCCUACAUUUUGUCACCGUACAGUUCAAACCGUUUAACAAAAAUUGAGGUCUUUCUAAUCAGCCUCUAACAAAAUACAUCUGUACUUACUGUCUUCUCUAUGAAGAAUAGAACCAAUUAGGUUCAGUAAUCUCUCUUUUGAAAGAUACUAUAAAACUUGUAUAGGUGACUGGUAAAUUACCCUCUUGGACUUUGUCAGAACAGUCUGAAAUCUUCUCUAACAUAAGCUCCUUAUACAAACCACAGGAUUUAGAUUUACAUCUAACAGUGGUCUCAGUCAGCUUUUACCAAGUUCUAAGAAUGGCUAUCAGUCUUCAACACAGGAAAUCAACUCAGGGAGGUUGAUUCCAGGACCUUCUAAAUCUUUCUGAGAUGCAUCUUAUCUCUGGAAUCUUCAGCUGUUGUCAGCAGGACCAGUAUUGAGUCAAGGUUACAAUAACUGGAAACCACAACUAUCAGCAUGCAGUGCUAUUUCUUAAAUGUAUUAAAAUAAACCCAAAUAUAUUCAUCUUUUUAAAAAGGUGCUUUGGGGAGGAAUAAAUUGACUAUAUAAUACAUAUGGAUUAAGGUAGAUAAAUCAAGCUAUUUUUUCCCACUGGGCUCAGAAUGAAAGACGCUUACAAAUGUAUGAUAAUCUCUGCAAUGCCUGCUGAGAAAGUAAACAAAUUGGAGAACAUUACAAUCAUAUCCAUGCCAGAUCAGAAAAGUGACAGUAAGUAAAUAAGUGACAUUCUACUUCUUGACUAUAUGUCAACUGAUAAUAAUCUAAAAAUAUAAGUAGAAAUGGAUAAGAUGACACAGUUGCAAAAAUAUUAGUUUGGCACCCAAAAGUGGAGAAAGGGGAUUGAAGAGAUCAGAAAUGUAGCUCUGAGUGCCCUGAAUGGUUUUGGUUUAAUCACUCUGUCUCAACCCUAAUUUACCUCACAAGAUUGGUCUUAUGAUAAAAAGUAGGAAUAGGGAAGGCCAUGUACCAUAUAUCACUUAGAGCUCCUAAAUGUGAUAUAACUGAAAGAUGAACUAUCAGGAAAACUUCAAAAUAUGCCCAAAGAAAAAAAAAUGCCUCUGGAUCAGGGGUGAAAUCCAGCAGGUUCUGACAUGUUCUGGAGAACUGGUAGCGGAAAUUUUGAGCAGUUCGGAGAACUGGUAGCGGAAAUUUUGAGUAGUUCAGAGAACCAGCAAAUACCACCUCUGGCUGGCCCCAGAAUGGGGUGGGAAUGGAAAUAUUGCAAUAUCCUUCCCCCAGGAGUGGGGAGGAAAUGGGGAUUUUGCAGUAUCCUUUCCCUGCCACGCCCACCAAGCCACACCAUGCCCUCCAAGCCACCCCCACAAAACUGGUAGUAAAAAAAUUUGGAUUUCACCACUGCUCUGGAUAUUUUAGUUUUCUACCUAAAAGAACAAGAGCUUCUAUUCCAAAACAGCAGACUAAGGCAUCUUUGAUUAGGAAAACAAAUCCAAAUAUUUCAAGAUGUACCUCCAAGAAUGUUUUAAGAAAGAAAACAAUUUGCAUCUCUAACAGCUGUUUUAAGAGUCAAGCAAUGAAGGUUUAGGUGGAGAAAUCUAUUUGCACUAGAAUUCUUCCUGGAAAUUAAAAAGGAAUAAUUACAAAGAGAGCCUCAGAAACUUUCUAUUUCUACAAAGAAUGAACUAUUCUUUGUUCAAUGAACACUGCUAAAAGAAACAGCAGAGGGAGCUCAUUUUAGAUGUUAAGUGUAUUUUAAAGCUCAGGCUGUAACAGGGAUAAGCAAACAAACUUCUGUACUGCAAAAAAUAAUCAUUCUUCCAACCAGUUCUUCCCAAAAGGUAAUAGCAUUCUUAGCAUCUAGCAAGGCGGGUGUGUGGAUGUGUGCCUCUGUGCACAUAUUAAAAGCAUUAUUUGCCAACUUGAUGCUCUGCUAAAUGUGGCUAGUCCUUGAUUUAUGACCACAAUUGAGCCCAAAACUAUUGUUGCUAAGUGAGAUACUUGUUAAGUAAGUUUUGCCCUAUUUUACAAUCUUUCUUGCCACAGUUAAGUGAGUCAUUGCUUCUCCAUUAAUUUUAUUGGUUAGAAUAUUUGUUAUAGUCCCAAAAGGUGACUAUAUAACCCUGGGACACCAUCGUAAACAUGAGUUAAUUCCCAAGCAUCUGAAUUUAGAUCACAUGACCAUGGGGAUGCUGCAACAGACAUAAGUGUAAAAAAUGAUCAUGUCAUAUUUUCACUGCUGUUGUAACUUCAAAUGGUCACCAAAUGAACUGUUGUAAGUCGAGGACUAUAUUUAUAAAUCCCAUGAGCUACAGAAAGCAAAGGCUUUGAAGAGUUCCAGUCUGAUGCAAGUAAUAGAAGAUUUUUCUAUAACAAUAAUGUAGAAAACUUUAGUAGUAACAUCAGGGGAGCGUGUAUAAUGCAGGCAACAGCACUGCAUGUUGGAGACUGAAGUAUUCUAGAGAAUAGGAUUCUUCUCCAUUGAGUUAGUUCUUGAAGUGUAACAUGUCUCACAAAUUUGAAUGGGUUUGGGGGAGAUAGGAGGGACUAAACAGGAUAAAUGUUAAUUUGGAUACUGGCUUUUUAAAUAAUUUACUGGCAACUGGUUGCAACAUUACUCUCAAGAGUGAAACUGCAAUAUAACAACAUCAGUGAUACCUCAAGCCCUAAGUGUUCCUGGCUACUUAAUGACAUGGCAAAAAACAUUUUCAGGCAUACUGAGAAUGUCCUCUCUGCCUCUGUUUUGGCACAGCAUAACCUUUUUCUGUACCUUUUCAUCUGAUUACCAACUUGCAUUCACUUCUCAUCCAUUCAUCUAUCCUAGUAGAAAUUCAUUCAGAAUAUUGCAGAUUUCCUUCUCCCACCACAACUCCAUUAUCACCAUUCACUGGAUUGUAACAAGUUACUACCAUCAACCUAUGAACUCCUAGUUUCAUUUGCACUCACAACAAUCUAGAUAUCAUCAAUUCAUAUUUUAAUACACAUUUUAGUCAUUUCAUUCAUAAUUAAACCUACACUUUCAUUUUCCCUCAUGAAUCCAUUCUACAAGAUCAGACCAGCUUCAUUCAGACCUAUUAUAUCAUCCUUCUCUGCCUCUUAUUUUCACAAACAUGCAAAAUAUCAGUUUUUCUUUCAUUCAUUUCAUUCUGUCUAAUUUACAUUCUUUAUUUCUUCCAUGUUAGGUUGUACUUGUCCAUAUACUAUGGUCAUUACCAAAUGAGCCCAUAGAUAUUAACCUCCAGUGCCAAUCUUGGUUUUGACCAAUUGAGCUUCAACAUUGUGCUUUUAAGUAAGUCACAGAAAUGGACUUACCAUUUCUGUGCCAACCUUAACUGUACCCACACUACAUGUGUCUUGCACACCAUUGUUUUGGUCAGUACUAGUCAGUUCUGGCAGAUUUUUGGCUACAAAUGCAACCAAAGCCCCAUUUUGCACCAUGCUACAAAUACUGGCCUAAAGACUUUCUUGGAAACCAAAUUAGUAUUCCUCACAUCCCAUCAACUCCAAAUAUAGGUCAUGUAUUACGUAGGAUGUAACACAGGAAACAACAAAGAUCUGUUCAAUUAUAUGACCAGGCCUAUGAAUUUUAAUUUCUUUUUCUGGAACUAAAAGAAAGCAGUUGCCUGUAUGAUGACUAUUACAUAAACUAAGUUGCCCUCAUGAAGACUGUUUUUUUUUAAAAAACUGCCAAGCUUUGUCUUAAAAUCUUAUGUCAGUUUCUUGGAAUGCCAGUUGGAUAUGUUAGAAUAAAUGACUUGUAUUUUUCUAGUAACAUGCAUCUGUUUUGGCAGUUCUUGUUUGCCUGAAGUUGCAGAAGCCAAAAAGAACAAGACACCUUGUACAGACCCUUGCUGGCUGGAGUCUACAUUGCCCCAAGUUUGCUACUGGUGACGGCUGAAAUGAGACAUGAAGAUAACCUUGAAGAGAAUACUCAAAAGUUGUUACAGAACCAAGAGCAGAUCAUCCCUUAAGCUCUGGGAAUAUAGCUUUGAUCCUUGAAUUACUUUUAUCUGAACUGGGUAAGAGAACUCAGAACUGUAAGGGUUGCCAAAUGUCUCAUAUAUCUAUUGGUCUCAUCACCACUUGUACUGCAUGAAUUGUGGAAUACGCUGCCUUGACUCCAUGUCAAAGAUUUACCUUUGAGGUGACAGGAAAGGUUGACCUCAGAAAGUCUGUUCACAUAUGCUCAUAAUUGCUUGCUCUUAUUAUAGCAUUUAGAAAUGGGCCUAAUCCUUCUUGAGAAAGCAAUCCUAUUCAUAAAUAUUCAACUUCUAUCUCAUUUUUCUCCACAGAACAAUGCCCAUUUUCUGUUUUGUAAUGGCAAUGACAGCCAAAAGCUCAGUGCUAGCUUCAUGGCUGAAUAGGGAUCUGAACUGGGGUAUAAAUUUUAAUAAUUAUUCAUAAAAAAUGCUUAUUCCAAUUUCUGAGAGACUUUUAAAAAACAAGAGUAUAUUCUCCUUUCAUUGAAAGGUCAAUGAAAGGUCUUGACAAAGACCUUUCAUUGAAACUAAACCAAUUUGCUUCUGUAUUAAAUGUUCAACAUUCAAUCUACUGAAACUGGAUCAAGGCUCAUAGAAAAUAGUUGUGGAGCAGCUGCCUUUUCUGCUCCUUAGAAAUAACCAGCUGAACAUAGCCUUAAAAAUCCUCUCUCAUGCCUUAUAUUUGUAGAAAAAUACAGUAGCUGAUUAUUUGGACACAAUCACUUUCUGAAAUUCCACUGCCGCUGCCUGGAGGUCAUGAAGACCUGGAUAAGCAUUUGCCACAUAUCAACAGAAAGAGAUUGCAAGAUUUUUCAGCAGAAUACCCAUGUCUCCUAUCUAGCCAACAACACUUUCUGAUUUUGCAAUUCUGUUCCUCUGUGUUAGUUACAUAUAAAAAUGCAUGGUGUAAAUAUUAAAAUCAAAGCUUAAACCCUGUUAUAUCCUGGGGUCUGAUUGGAGGGGAAUAGAAUAAAGUCCCGAUAUUUCACUUUUAGCAAAGCUUAGUUUGUUCAUCAAACAGUAUCAUUGGAGGGAAGCUUCGUGAUCCUUUGUGCUUCCAAUACAAGACACACAGUUCUCUUAGUUAUCUCCAGAAAUAAAUAUUUCUUAAUGUUUACAUUUCUCUUGAUAUAAAAUUGCAUUCUGUUGCUCUAAGAUUAAGGUUUUCAUUGCCAAAGAUUUUCCACACACACCCAAGAGCAUUUGGUUUUAUCUGGGGGCAGAUUCCAGUGGGAUUUUAAGAAAGAGGACUAAAGGGCAAAACAAGAAGUGUAAGUCCGGGAUGGGUGUUCUCAUUACAAGUUGAUCAUAAUGCACGUUCUGAAUAUUUGAAGAUUCAUAUAAUAGGAAAUUGUGAGUGGAAUAAGGUCAACAAUUUAAAAUAGCAGGUCCAGUGCAGAGAGGGAAAGUGUGAUAGAGGCAAAGAGACUUGUAAAGGACGAUCACCUAUGUUCCAAAGCAUGGAGAACAAAAACACAAAGCACAGCUUGCAUUCAGAAGCAUUAACUUUCUCCAACUUGGCAUUCUCUAGACGUGCUGAGACUACAGUUCCAAGAAUUCAGACUCAGGAAGCCUGGUAUUGAGCUUGAAAGGAUAGCUAAAUUUAGCCCAAAGAUGAAGAAGUCAUCCCUCUAACAAUGAAAUUCAGGGAAAUGGGUGUUAAAUAUCCGUUGGGACAUUACAUAUUAAACAAUGGGAAUCGGAAACAUCUGCCAGAUUAUAUGUUGCAUUCUUUAGCAAUAGUGUAACUGGGGUAAGGCAACAGAGGCACGAUAUCACUGAUAUACAUAUGUGCAUGCACACACAUGUACCUGCACAGAAAUAUAUAUACACAUAUAUAUGUAUUGUGUAUUAUAUAUACAUGAAGGACUGAAACUGAUGAAUGAUAUGAGUUAGAAUUUUAAACAUCAAUUUAUUCAAGAUACGAAGAAGCAGACAAGCUUUGCAUUGAUCAGCAGAUUAAUGUGGCAAAGCACAUUCCUUAGGUGGAGAAGAAAUCUCAUUUUCUAUGUACUUACAAGUAGCAAAUGGGAACAACUCUAGGACUUGGUGGUUUUAAAAGAACUUCCCAUAUGUUCUGAGGGAAGGCAGCUAUCAAUCAAGCUAUUAAAAAAAAAGGGAGGGUGUUUCACAGUCACUAUCUAUAUAGAAAAUACCUUCAAGAUGUGAUUAUCUUAUAAAUUUACCAAUCCCUUUUGAAGGGGUAAUUUGUGAGUGAUACUUCCUUGAUGAUAGUGCCUGCCAAAGUUAUUUGCUUGAUUGAAAUAAAGUCCAAAUGAUGCCUAUGAAUUCAUCUCCAGCUAGGCCAGGGGUCAGCAACCUGUGGCUCUGGAGCCGCAUGUGGCUCUUUCACCCCUCUGCUGUGGCUCCCUGUCACUCAAAAUAUGCGUCACAACCGCCAAUAUGCGACACCCGUUAGCACACGAUUUAUUGAGCUUUUCAACCCCUGGUAGGCCAACUAUAGAUAAAUCCAAGAAAAGUAAAGUUUCAGAAGAAAACAGAACGUUUAAUUCAACUACAUAUGCUAGUUUUGCAGCCGCUCAAGAAAUAGUCAGGCACGGGAAGCGUUUUGUGGCUCCCAGUGUUUUCUUUUCUGUGGGAAAUGGGUGAAAUGGCUCUUUGAAUGUUUAAGGUUGCAAACCCCUGAGCUAGGCCAACAGUUGAAAAGCCUUGAAUAAUUUAAGCACCAAUUCUUGCCAUUGUAUAUCCUCUCCUUCCUUCAUUUGCAGUGCUGCUUCAGAAUGGUUGCUUCUCUAUGUUGCGUAGCAGGGUUGGAUCUAUGGCACUGCCCGGAAUUAGGAGAAGCCAAAGUAAAUCAGCCUUUUGGAAAUGCCAGAACUUUCCAGUGGAAUGGUCAGAGAGAGUGCACUCAGAAGGUAGUUUCUUUAUCUUUGAAGGUUAGGGUUAGGACAGAUUUUGGAAUUUUAGUAAUACAUGAAGUAGAUAAAUGACUUAUUUGAUCAACUUAAAAUAAAUUGUGUCUUCUUUAUUGAUGAUAUAAAUUGUUUAAUACUACAGAAAAUUCACUUAUUUUGUAAAAUGACAUUGACUAUGUUUUUAGUAGUCAUUUAUUAAUGGUCAUCUAUUUGGUAACUUCAGGUUGGUUAAGAAAUGCUUAUUUUACAUAUUGGAAAGCAAAACCAGAAUGUAAAGUAUAAGUUAGAUGGUACUGAUCUAGCAGAUGACCUUUAUUUUGCUAAGGAUCUAGAUGUACUCAUCUUCAAUGACUUAUGUUCUAAAGUUCAUUGAAACAGCAUUGCUAAAAAGCACAAGAGGUGGUAUUCAGCAGGUUCUGAUCAGUUCUGCAGAACUGGUAGCAGAAAUUUUGAGUAGUUUGGAGAACCAGUAAAUACCACUUCUGACUGGCUCCGCCCCCAUCUAUUCUCUGCCUCCCAAGUCCCAGUUGAUUGGGAGGAAAUGGGGAUUUUGCAGUGACCUUCCCCUGGAGUGGGGUGGGAAUGGAAAUUUUACAGUAUCCUUCCCCUGCCACGCCCAUCAAGCCAUGCCCACAGAACCAGUAGUAAAAAAUUUUGAAUCCCACCACCGAAAAAGCACUAACAGUUGUAAAUUUAAUUUUAUGAAGUUUCUUUUCUGGAAAUACUGUAUUGCUCACUAGAGCUUACAAAAGAGAUCCUAGAAUAUUGUUUCACUGUUCGAAAUCCUUACCAUAUAUUGGAUAUUAAUAUAAUCAAGUGAGUUCAGAAGUACUUUACAUGAAAAGUUUUGCACUCUUCUGUCCAUAAUAGAAUAUUCUAUGCUAUUAGGUUUCAAGCUUAGAACUAUGAUACUUGUAGUUAGAUGUAGGCAGGGGUGAAAUCCAGCAGGUUCUGGAGAACCGGUAGCAGAAAUUUUGAGCAGUUUGGAGAACCAGCAAAUACCACUUCUGGUUGGCCCCAGAGUAGGGUGGGAAUGGAGAUUUUGCAAUAUCCUUUCCCCAGGAGUGGGGAGGGAAUAGGGAUUUUGCAGUAUCCUUCCCCUGCCAUGCCCACAAAGCCACACCACGCUCACCAAGCCACACCCACAGAACCGGUAGUAAAAAAAAUUGGAUUUCAUCACUGGACGUAGGUAUUGCAUAAAAAAUUGUACAUAGUAAUGUUUUGCUUGUAAAUGACUUUUUUAGUAUUAAUUGUAAGAUACACAUGUGAAUAAUUGCUUUAAUGUAAACCAUGUUAAACUUGAUUGUAAAAAAAUGUUUUUCUAAUAGUGUUGUCAAAGUUUGGAAUAUCCUACCUGAUUCAGUUAUCUUACUUUCAUAGUUUUAAUUCCAAUUUCUGUGGAACUCACCCCAUAUUUAAGCGGUCCUUAAGGGGGCAUGUGUAAAGGCACUAAUGUGCCUAUCAUCUGUUGACAAUUAAAUUGUAUUCAUUUUGCUUGUUCAAAUUUGUAAUUUUCCUUCGAUGAAUAAACAUUAAACAUUAA